AGCACAGUUUCCAUCCGGUUGUCGACGAAGGUGCACGCGUUCAUCGCUUCUUCGCGCUCAAGUCUUUCGUUUUUAACGCCACACGGCUACGAUCGGCUGACAUCAGUUGGAACGAAAGGUUCGUUCCCGAGCGCAAACAUUCAGAAACAAUACACUCGUCGUGUGAUAUAUCGGUGAACACCCUGAUACUAUCAUGGGCAAGGUCGUGGUACUAGUUCUCAGCCUCGUUAUCUGUCUAGCCGCCCAGCAGGCGAUGGCAAAGGAGAAACACAUCAAGUACACCGAGAAAGAUCUGCUGCGAAAGUCGAUCGUGUAUGACAAAAACACACCGGAUGUAUUCUACUGUCCCGUCAACAAACCGACCGGAAUGGAUAAGAUGAUUGUGAGGUCACGUCCACUUCACAAACUCUGCGAGCACGAGGGUAAACCGCUUCCUCCGCACUACAAAUCUGACUGCUACAAUGAUGUCGAUGAGUCGAACUAUGCCUGCAAGGAGAAGUACAGAAUAAUGAAACGGUUCGCCAAAGAUAAUGUUCAGAUCUAAACCAGGCUCCUCCCCGCUUUGAUCAUCUACACGCGUGCGAAUUUUCUCGUGCGAGCGAUAGAGCGACCAAAUAUGUUUUGACCGCACCGAGCGCUAAAACUAUCUCCAUUUUCUAGACGCAAAACAAAACGUAGCAUUGAACUGUACCGAGUUCUUCAGACACUGUUAAACUUUGAACGACUUUCUUCUCUGUUUCCUUACUCUCUUAUCUUUAUCUUUCCGAUGCCCGCAUGUAGAACGUAUUGCACGAUGGUGCGAUUCGAUUGAAUUAUGUUUAACAUUUGCUUCGAUCAUUUUCUUCUCUUCUUUAGCGCUUUUAGUACUGUCUUAGAAAUUUUUUUUAUCAAAUUUAUUUAAUACCAAAACAUAAAGUAAGACACCCAAAAAACGUAAAUAUCUACUGAAGAACAGUUGUUUUCUUUUUCAUUUUUAACGGUUACCAAACGACGAACGAAUGAACUUUCGUUGUUAGAAGAGUAAUGUAACUAACCAUUUCAUUUACUUAUACUCAUUUAACACACUAAGUGCAACUGAUCGAUUUACAGGAUAAGACAAAGGUGAUGGUCAUCGUGGUGGGUGAAUGAUGUUUGAACUACCUAAUUGGACUAACCAUUUUCUCGGUCGCUCCUAUGUAUUGGAUAGCAUAUUCUGCUGGUGUUCUCUCAAUUAAUCCCAAUUAACAUGCAAUGUACUGUAAUGCACUUUACGACUACUGAUUGCUUGCAAAACGUUAACUUCCGUACGUGACUGUGGACAUCGUUAGGCAACAUUUUCUUUUGGGACAUAUUUACGUAUUUACGCGUACGUCUCACUUACCAAACAAAACGCCACACUGCACACAGACACCAGGUAACUAAGACGGAGUUGAAUAGAACAUAUCGCUUUGCACAAGAAAUUUACACACAAAAGGGAUUAAAAAUCACACAUCCUGCUGCUUAAACGCCAGCUAAAAGCAUUACACGGGAAAUGGAGGUCUAUACACGAAAGAUGCGUCUCAAUCCUCCCGGUAGCGACGCUCCGUUCAAUGGACAGCGUUUGAGCAGGUUUAUGGACAUGGAUGACGAUAUGAAGCGUGUCAAGUCUAAGAAACACUGACCGGCCACGGUCCAGCUUAUCGGCCAG